rnacentral:lncRNA from 1 species
CGGUAGGGCCCUAGGCACGGCCCCCGUCUGAUAGGAAGGGAAAGCACGGCACGCGCGCAGCUGCGCACAGCAGCCUGGCCGGGCUGUCCGAGGAAGCUAAGCCCCUCUGGCAAACCUGUGACGAGCGCCAAGGAAUAAAGCCAAGCUGGGUUUACAGAUUUACGAGGCUGCAGGAUAAGGGGCUUUUCCCCUGCCUCUCAGGCCCUGGCUGCUCUGCUGCCACCGCCUGCGGCCUCAGCGCGCUGCCCCAGCUGCCCUGCGGCCCCUUAAACCCACGCCAGAAGCAGCCAGCGAGAGGGAAGAGGGAAGAGGCAGCGCAGAGCAACCGGCGGCUGCAUCCCCCCAUGGGGGCACAGGCAAAGGCCCAUCUACGGCAGGGCUGCCUCCUCCUCUUCACUCAACAAAUCCAGUAAAGCUACGGCAACACAAGUCACAAACUGCCCAUGCAGAACAAACGAAAACUGAGGGGUCUUAUCCUCCAUCUACUGAUCUCGGGUUCAUGUCUUUGCAUGUACCAUGCUGCAAAAUCCAGACAGGUUUGCAGCAGUCAUCUUUGAAAGCAGCCGGAUCUGUAAAGAUGAAGCACCACAGACCCACAGCUGUUGUGCCAAAACCCUGCGGUAAUCUCGCAAUACCCAGGAAGAAAAAUCCUUUUGUGGGCAGAGCUUGUUUGAGGAACGCGUUAAAACAGCUUUUUUGCUGCCUUGACCUGCAUCUUUCUGUUAGGAAGCAUGUGAUGGAACCACUAGACCCACACAACCCUGCCUCUAACCUCAGGUAGAGGCAAAUAUACCUGUACUUGGAUGAUGUGAUCAAAAGGGCCAGCUGGGAAACCUCAUGAGCCUAGUAAAUGCUUUACUGUGGCUGGAGCAAUUAGUUGGACUGUCAUCACUGUGUGCUGAUCUUCCCCUGCUACAGUCAUUCCUCUAGGAGCAACCCCGAGAACAUAUCUGGGCUGCCUGCAGCCUUACAGACGCAGACCCUGCUUCCCACACAGAGCCCACCUCAGCUGGAGAAGAUCUCUUCUAGGAGAGACCUUGAACCAUUCAAGAGCAAGAGUCUGCCUAAAAAAAACUACAUCAGAAAACGUCUUAGAUAUCGGCAAGCCCUCAGUCUGCUUCCCCAAUCUCAACCAUCUGGACUGGUAACACUGGCUGUCUCUCAUCUUCACAGGCUGGAAGGAAAGGAGGCACGAACGAUGAACAACACACAUUAACCUUAGCUAACAUUUCACCACUUUCCUAAGACAGCUGAAAUGAAUAAAUAAUCUGAUUUGGUUUGGAUCCCUCA